rnacentral:rRNA from 1 species
CAAUAGCGUAUAUUAAAGUUGUUGCAGUUAAAAAGCUCGUAGUUGAACUUCAGACCUGGCCGGGCGGUCUACCUCGCGGUAUGUACUAUCUGGCCGGGUCUUACCUCUUGGUGAGCCGGUAUGCCCUUCACUGGGUGUGCCGGGGAACCAGGACCUUUACCUUGAGAAAAUUAGAGUGUUCAAAGCAGGCCUAUGCCCGAAUACAUUAGCAUGGAAUAAUAAAAUAGGACGUGCGGUUCUAUUUUGUUGGUUUCUAGAGUCGCCGUAAUGAUUAAUAGGGAUAGUUGGGGGCAUUCGUAUUCAGUUGCUAGAGGUGAAAUUCUUGGAUUUACUGAAGACGAACUAUUGCGAAAGCAUUUGCCAAGGAUGUUUUCAUUA